AAUCUCUCGAUCGCUUAACCUCACUCACCGCCGCUCUCCAUCUCUCGCGUACCACACAAUCUCUCUCACUCUAAAAUGCAAGGGUCCAAGGUUUUUAAGGAGAAACAAGGAGAAAGAGGCUCACCUUUGGCGAAAACAAACGGAGACGAUGAAGCCUAAAACUCCCUCCUCCGCCUCUUCAAACCAGGUCUGAUUUUGGGAUUUAGGUUUUUUUGAGAUUCUUUUCCGCCUCCACUUUCCGUUUUCGAAUUCUCUCCUCGAUCGCCUCACUAAUCCCUCUCUAUUUAUCCCCUACGAAUUAGGGUUUUCAGGAUGGCAUAUGGAGCUCAAAAGAGUAUCCUGCAAAACCCCCUUCUGGAUGGUCAGGUUUUGGUCGCCCUAAUCGAUGCUUGGGUUGGAACAGGACGGCCAUUAUUCAAGGCCUUCAAUAGAGCUUCUUCUUUGGUAAAAUUAUUUACACAAAUGCUGAUUCAACACAGUGCAGUUCAAGGUGGACAGGGCAUGGUGACGAAUUGGAAUGCUUAUGGACUAUGCUCACGGAGGAUUGCAAUUGCUGCAGGUUGCUUAUUUGGCAUUCAGUGCAAAUAUCUCCUUCUGUCGACAUGCUGCCUGAGACUCUAGUUCCUCAAUUUGCAGUUUUGCAGCGAACAACUCUUCAACCUUUCAUUCCAUCAUUCAAUAUUCCUUCAAACUGAAUAUUCAAUACACCCAAUCCAAUAGGUACUAAUGGACGCAGGACUAAUCCAUGGCCAUUUCCUUAAAGUGAGGCUUGUAAUGCAAUUGUGCAUCCCCUGAACACCGGAAAUGCAGAAAAGUAUGAUGAGCACCCACAUAAACCAUGUUGUCAUGAAGAAGAACAGCAGAACAAGAAAGGGCUAUGAUUGUUUUUACAAUUGCAGGAUUCACAACUUCCCAACUUUGCCCAUUUCAUUAUCAAACGUUUGUUGCACAUUAGUAAUAGGAAUACUGCAAUUUUCAACACAAUGGCUUAUCUCCUCCUGCCUUCUGCUUCUAUCAAAGCACACAUAUGCACAUUUAAAAUAGGCUUUCUGAAGAGUGUAGUUGACAUGGUCUUGAACAGGGGCAAGCUGAGUUUGAGCAGCUACAUUCACUUCCUCAAGUUUUUGCCUAAGUCUCUGA